rnacentral:rRNA from 1 species
GACGAACGCUGGCGGCGUGCCUAAUACAUGCAAGUCGAACGCUGAAGGAGGAGCUUGCUUCUCCGGAUGAGUUGCGAACGGGUGAGUAACGCGUAGGUAACCUGCCUGGUAGCGGGGGAUAACUAUUCGAAACGAUAGCUAAUACAGCAUAAGAGUAGAUGUCGCAUGACAUUUGCUUAAAAGGUGCACCUGCACCACUACCAGAUGGCCCUGCGUUGUAUUAGCUAGUUGGUGAGGGAAAGGCUCACCAAGGCAACGAUACAUAGGCGACCCGAGAGGGUGGUCGGCCAAACUGGGAAUGGGAAACCGCUCCGGACCCCUAGGGGGGGAACAGGAGGGGAAUGUUGGAAAUUGGGGGAAGGCUGGACGAGCAAAUACCGGUGAGGGAAGGAGGGCUUUCGAUUGUAAAGCUCUGUUGGAUGGGAAAAACGAGCGGGAGGGUGGAACGUUGAUGCUGUGACGGUACCUUAAGAGAAAGCGACGGCUAACUUCGUG